rnacentral:rRNA from 1 species
UACGUAGGGUGCGAGCGUUAAUCGGAUUUACUGGGCGUAAAGCGAGCGCAGGUGGUUUAUUAAGUCUGAUGUAAAAGGCAGUGGCUCAACCAUUGUGUGCAUUGGAAACUGUUAGACUUGAGUGCAGUAGAGGAGAGUGGAAUUCCAUGUGUAGCGGUGAAAUGCGUAGAUAUAUGGAGGAACACCGGUGGCGAAAGCGGCUCUCUGGACUGUAACUGACACUGAGGCUCGAAAGCGUGGGUAGCAAACAGG